AGGGUUCGAUUCUGGCUCAGGAUGAACGCUGGCGGCGUGCUUCAUACAUGCAAGUCGAACGAGAGAUGGUAGCUUGCUACCAUUGAAAGUGGCGGACGGGUGAGUAAUACAUAGGGAAUCUGCCCUUAGCUGGGGGGACAACAGUUGGAAACGACUGCUAAUACCGCAUAUGAGUAUAGUUGAGAUAUUAUACUUGAAAACUCCGGUGGCUAAGGAUGAGCCUGUGCCUGAUUAGUUAGUUGGCGGGGUAAAGGCCCACCAAGGCGACGAUCAGUAGCUGGUUUGAGAGGAUGAUCAGCCACAAUGGGACUGAGACACGGCCCAUACUCCUACGGGAGGCAGCAGUAGGGAAUUUUGCGCAAUGGGCGAAAGCCUGAACCGCAGCAACGCCGCGUGUGUGAUGAAGCCCUUAGGGGUAGUAAAACACUGUCAGUAGGGACGAAAUAUGACGGUACCUACAGAGGAAGCACCGGCUAACUCCGUGCCAGCCGCCGC
rnacentral:rRNA from 1 species